rnacentral:rRNA from 1 species
GGGGGCUUGCUCCCGGGUUAGUGGCGAACGGGUGAGUAAUAUAUCGGAACAUAUCCGGAAGUGGGGGAUAACGUAGCGAAAGUUACGCUAAUACCGCAUAUGCCCUGAGGGGGAAAGGGGGGGAUCGCAAGACCUCUCGCUUUCGGAGUGGCCGAUACCGGAUUAGCUAGAUGGUGAGGUAAAGGCUCACCAUGGCGACGAUCCGUAGCUGGUCUGAGAGGACGACCAGCCACACUGGAACUGAGACACGGUCCAGACUCCUACGGGAGGCAGCAGUGGGGAAUUUUGGACAAUGGGCGAAAGCCUGAUCCAGCCAUACCGCGUGAGUGAAGAAGGCCUUCGGGUUGUAAAGCUCUUUCAGCCGGAAAGAAAUCGCACUUUUUAAUACGGAGUGUGGAUGACGGUACCGGAAGAAGAAGCACCGGCUAACUACGUGCCAGCAGCCGCGGUAAUACGUAGGGUGCGAGCGUUAAUCGGAAUUACUGGGCGUAAAGCGUGCGCAGGCGGUUUGAUAAGCCAGAUGUGAAAUCCCCGGGCUUAACCUGGGAAUUGCAUUUGGAACUGUCAGACUAGAGUGUAGCAGAGGGGGGUAGAAUUCCACGUGUAGCAGUGAAAUGCGUAGAUAUGUGGAGGAAUACCCAUGGCGAAAGCAGCCCCCUGGGUUAACACUGACGCUCAUGCACGAAGCGUGGGGAGCAACAGGAUUAGAUACCCUGGUAGUCCACGCCCUAGAACGAUGUCACUAGUUGUUGGAGGAG